UACGUAGGGGGCUAGCGUUGUCCGGAAUCAUUGGGCGUAAAGCGCGUGUAGGCGGUCCGUUAAGUCCGCUGUGAAAGUCGGGGGCUCAACCCUCGAAAGCCGGUGGAAACUGUCGGGCUAGAGUACGGAAGAGGCGAGUGGAAUUCCUGGUGUAGCGGUGGAAUGCGCAGAUAUCAGGAGGAACACCGAUAGCGAAGGCAGCUCGCUGGGACGGUACUGACGCUAAGGCGCGAAAGCGUGGGGAGCGAACAGG
rnacentral:rRNA from 1 species